AGAGUUUGAUCCUGGCUCAGGAUGAACGCUAGCUACAGGCUAACACAUGCAAGUCGAGGGGCAGCAUGAUCGAAGCUUGCUUGAUGAUGGCGACCGGCGCACGGGUGAGUAACGCGUAUCCAACCUUCCCUGUACUAGAGGAUAGCCCGGCGAAAAGUCGGAUUAAUACUCUAUGUUAUUCGAUGCGGACAUCUAAUUUGAAUCAAAGGUUUACCGGUAUAGGGAUGGGGAUGCGUCUGAUUAGGUUGUUGGCGGGGUAACGGCCCACCAAGCCUACGAUCAGUAGGGGUUCUGAGAGGAAGGUCCCCCACAUUGGAACUGAGACACGGUCCAAACUCCUACGGGAGGCAGCAGUGAGGAAUAUUGGUCAAUGGACGGAAGUCUGAACCAGCCAAGUAGCGUGCAGGAUGACGGCCCUAUGGGUUGUAAACUGCUUUUAUACAGGGAUAAAGUCAGUUACGUGUAACUGUUUGUAGGUACUGUAUGAAUAAGGACCGGCUAAUUCCGUGCCAGCCGCCGC
rnacentral:rRNA from 1 species